CGGCGUUGGCGGCGCAGCUGGCUCGCGCGGUGGGCGCAGGUGGACGCAGGCGCUGGGCGACAGCUCUGAACAGAGUGGAGACAAGUGAGCCCGUGUUCCAGAGGGGAGAGACAGGAUGGCAAAACAGAAGAGAAAAGUUUCCGAAG